AGAUGCACAGGAGGAGAAGCAGGAGCUGUCGUGAAGAUCAGAAGCCAGUCAUGGAUGACCAGCGCGACCUUAUCUCCAACAAUGAGCAACUGCCCAUGCUGGGCCGGCGCCCUGGAGCCCCGGAGAGCAAGUGCGGCCGCGGAGCCCUGUACACAGGCUUUUCCAUCCUGGUGACUCUGCUCCUGGCUGGCCAGGCCACCACUGCCUACUUCCUGUACCAGCAGCAGGGCCGGCUGGACAAACUGACAGUCACCUCCCAGAACCUGCAGCUGGAGAACCUGCGCAUGAAGCUUCCCAAGCCUCCCAAGCCUGUGAGCAAGAUGCGCAUGGCCACCCCGCUGCUGAUGCAGGCGCUGCCCAUGGGAGCCCUGCCCCGGGGGGUAAGGACAGCCCCAGGGUGGUGGGAGGGGCAAGGUUAUCCCGCCUGGAUGGAGGACAGUGCCAAGGGGAGGGGCAGGGAGGAGAGCCCAGCUGGAGAGGGGUCCUUACUGCUGUGGGAGGGACAGUGCCUGCCUCAGGAAGAACAGGGCUCCGCAGGUGUGGAGGGCACAGGUGA
rnacentral:sRNA from 1 species